rnacentral:rRNA from 1 species
AUGAGCGAGAUGACCGCGCUCGAGUCUACGAUGACCUCGCCCGCUCGAUUCCCUUCCUCACCUUGGUUCUCGCCGUCUCACCGCCGGAUCCCAUCAUCCCCGCCACCCACUUGUCGCCGGUGGUCGCCUCCGUGCCAAGUCCCUCGCGGCGCUGCAUCUUGGCUGCAGCGAGCGGGAGCUGCAGUCGCUGCAGGUUUCUUCGUUGACCAGGCCUCCUCUGCCCUGAACAACCUCAACCAGUCGAACCAGCCGAACCCGCUCGGUCCUAUCGGCUCGCUCGAACCGGUCUGGCCCGAUCCGUCCCAACUGGCCCGACCCCCUGCCUGUCUUUAG